UAUUAAAAAUUUCAUCUAUUUUUAUUGUUAAAAACAGAUUUGGCUGAUAGAAAAACCAGACUGUGAUGCGUGGUAAGCCAUGUAUACCUUAUUUUUUAUGUAUAAAGAACGGUUUUUAAUAGUAAAAAUGGAUUGGAUUUUUUUUA
rnacentral:pre_miRNA from 1 species